rnacentral:lncRNA from 1 species
UCGGCAGAGUCUCCCUUAUAAUUAAAACAUAUCCAAUCCUGCAAAUUACAAAUCAACACUCCCAAAAUAAUUUGAUAUCCAACCAUCCUUCAUAACCAACUUCUCAAGUCAACACCUCAAAUUUCACCCAAACCCUUCUAAUAAUAAAAUACACUGGUAAUCCUUAAUUACAAAAUAUAAUAAAUAAAUACAAUUCGCAAUAUCCCAAAUAAUUAAAAUAAUUAAAUCUACGACUUCUAGCACCAUUACGUGGCCACAAUUUCAAAUCUAACUAUCGUUACUGAGUCGACUGAUGUACCUGCAAGUCUCCUGGGGGGGAGAAAAUAUAAUAAAAGCGGAAUGAGUAUAAAACUCAGUGAACUCAGUGAGUGGAUAAUAAUUUUAAAAAUCAAUUCUUUUAAAAAAUAAUUUAAUCUUUUUCAAAUCAAUUUCUCAAAUCAUCAAUUUCUCAAAUCAAUUUCAUCAGAAUAUCAUAAGAACUUACAUAAACUUAUUUAAUUCAAAUCAGUCACUGAAAUACUAUAUUACGUAAAUCUGCAUAAAAUCAAUGGAAACAUAAUACUUAUUAUAUCAAAUACUGAAUACCAAAACUAUCAUCAAACAAGUACCCAGGGAAAUCUCGUCAUAUCCGGACCUCAACGGACGGGCAAUGACGCACUAUCUGGGUAACGUCAUGCCCCGGAGCUACAACGGAUAGACAGGGAAAUACUAUCUCAUAUCUCAUCAUAUCUGUGCAUGCAUAAUCUAGUCCCCAAAGGACAAAAGCGCCCAAGCACACGGCCCAAAGCCUCUGUGUGUACUCAGACGGGCCCCAAAGGCCUGUAUCUCAUCUGUAUCUCAACUCUCUGUAUCUCAUAUCUGUAUCACUGUAUCUCAAUAACUGAUCUGUAUCCCAUAUCUGUAUCACUGUAUCUCUGUAAUUGAUCUGUAUCUCAUAUAUGUAUCUCUAUAUCUCUGUAACUGAUCUGUAUCUCAUAUCUGUAUCUUUGUAUCUCUGUAUCUCUGUAACUGAUCUAUAUCUCAUAUCUGUAUCUCUGUAUCUGGAGGGAAGGGUACUGUCUAAUGUUUUCAAAAACAAUAUUUAUACUCAUGUAUAUAAACAUAUAAUCACAUCUGAAAUCUCAUUUUCUUUCUAUUCAACAUAUCUCAAAUCUGCUCAAUUCUAAUAUCAUGCCUUUACUAAAAAAACGAUAGUAAAAUCAUUAAUCAAACUCAUUCUCAAUAACAAUAAAUAUCAACACAUAAAUAAAAAAUCAAUUUUCUAGAAAAGCAUUAAAUCGAGCAUCAAAUACUUAUUUAUAAAAACAUACUGCACUGUAUCAUAAAAUCAACAUAUACUCUAAAAAUAGGUUUUGUAUAUUCCACUCACAGUGACAAUGUCCAAACUCGGUGUCAACAAAGUCCGUGGAUUAAUUCUCGUUCGCGAAUCCUCCUAAUCAAGGAAACGCCAAAAUCAUUCUCCGUAACUUUGAAAUACAACCAAUUUAAUAUAAUAAAUCUCGAAACGAAUAUCUAUCAACAAUAAACUAUUUCCGCAUGUACAAAAUUACUGAAAUACCCCUACAUACCAAAAUUACCAAAAUGCUCCCAACAUUAAUAUUUUACCAAAUUAUCCUCAGAAUCUUCAAUUACUAAAUGGUCCUCAAUUCAGAUCACAUAAAUAACUGCAAUGUCAAAAAUUAUGAAAUUACCCUCGGAGCGUAAAUUUACCAAAAUAUCCUUAACGACUUAAAUUACCGAAUUACCAUCGUAAUCUCAAAUUACUUCACUGCCCUAACUUAAAAUUACCAAUUUAUCCACUGAUUCCACAAAUUACAUAUUCACCCUUAGGUUUUGUGAAUUACCGAUUUGCCCUUGAAUUCAAUAUUACCAAAAUACCCUCAUAUCAAAAUUACCAAAUUAACCUCAAAAUCAUAAAUUACCAACUUUAUCCUCAAUUACAGCAAUUACCAAAAUACCCACAAAAUCUGAAAUUACAACAUUGCCCUUAUGUUAUGAAAUUACCGAAAUGCCCUUGCCGGUCAACGGUCACCGGAAUUUAUCCGACGGCGACGGGAAGCUCAAAUCUUAAAGUGCCAAUCACGCUGAGUUCAAUGGUACCGGCGGUGAGCUCCGACGCGCGGCAACGACGCCGGAAUCUAGCUCGACCGCCGUGAGUUCCAACAAUCGACCGGCGGCAAAACAACGACUCUCGGUGCCUAUGGAUGGUCGGAAAUGGAAGAGGGAAUCAUGAGGAACAAAAUCCAACCGGUGGUGUCACCCAAAUCUGGCGAAAUCACGGCGAAUCAAGCCGGCGAUUCCGCGAACCUUCAACACUUCGAUCGGUGACUUUCCGAUCGUUUUCCGGCAGCAAGGACGGCAUGGAUACGUUGCUCAUCUCUCAAGCUUCAAAUCGGUACCAAGCACGGCCGGUGAGGUGGCCGGAAACGGGAGAACUCGUCGGGUCAAGUCGCGGGUUCGGGUUGGGUCGGGUCGGGUCAAACGGGUCAAAGACUCUCUCUCUCGUGCCUUCUCUCUCUUUCUUUGUGAAUCCAUAACAGUUCCCCCCAUUUCCAUAUAUAAAACCCGACUUCUUUUUCUUUUUCUCUUCGUUUUUUUUUUUUAAACUUAAGCUUAAUACAAAUUAAGCUAAUACCGGACCCGAGGCGAAAAAUAAAAUCCGACUACUUGAGCUUUUAAUCGCACUCAAUUUAUAUAAGUGGAGAGUCAAAAAUAAUCGGGUGCGGGGUAUUACAUAAGCAAUUAACGAAUUGGUUGUAACCACGAUCAAUUCCUCUUUCUGUAAUAACAGCAAGCGAGUCCUCCUUGGAAAGUGUUCCCUCAGUGUCGGUAGGUUUAAUAACAUGAACCUCAGCACCAAUGUACAUGUAUUAUUAAGAAGGUACCCUUUUAAAUGUUGAUUAAAUUCUGCUAGGGUAAGAAAUUUGACGAAGCCCCAUUCACUUGUCUGCUGAUCAUAGGUCCUCACUGGAGAUUUAGCAUCUUGGACUGCCAAGUAAUCCUUCCUAAUCUUAUCAUACACAAACAAUCUGUACUAGACAUUAACACUCCAGGCAGCAUUAGAAUAAGAAUUGCUUUAAUCUAUUUUCAUGUAAAGGGAAAGAUGACGUCUAUGUUCUUUGUGAUCUACUGUAUUUGCAUUUGAUGAGGGGUAAGGUUCAUAGUACGUAUGUCCUCUAAUUAAGUGUUUCUUUCUUUUUUGAUUUAGACAAAAAUAUCUACAGUCUACCCAGAGUUUCACCAUUUUUCAAAAACUGUUCUACUUCCAACUUAAUACGGUUAGUAACUUUGAUAGAAUAUUAGUAAAAUGACAAUGUUGCCCUUUAAUUCACACCAUAAAAUAAUAAAAUUAUAACAGAAAUAGAAACCAAAAUUAAAAAACAGAGAAGGUAUUUUUCAGAAAUCCUCUACUUACAAAAUCAAACCCUUCAUUAAAUCACAAUCUCAUAAAUCAUAACCCUAAUCUUACGACUCAAAUCCUAAGAAAUCAAAACCCCCUGAAUCCUGUCCACUAUCUUAGGGAGAAAAAUAAAUAAAUAAAAGUCUAAAAUGAUUAAUUUGACAAGUUUGAUUCUUCUUAGUCUAUUUAUUUUAGCAGAUUAAUUGACAAUUCUGAAUGUAAAUGACUAUUUUUUAUGAGUAAAUUAUAAAAUGAGGCAAUAGAUGUGAAGAUAGGGAAAAUGGAAAAUAGAGGAAUUAUAUAUUGAUUUGACCAUAAUGGAUUGUUCUUUAUACUAAAUUAUGUUUGGGCUAUUUAUAUAAAUAAAAAACAAAAAAGUGUACUAAAUAUUUUUAUAGUACAAAUAGUCCCAUAAUUAUUGAUUUUAUAGGUAACUGUUGGAUUAAUUUUAUUAAGUACUUCUUUGAUUUGAUUAUCAAUCUCAACCUUAUGUUGAUCGAUUCAUCUAAUUUUUCCCGUCAUUCUUCAAAGUAACCCAGUUGGUUGAUUUCUAAUCCCGGUAACAGACGUAAAAAACUGACAUUAUUAGUCAGACUAUUCAUCCUAGAGAUGGUAUAGCAAACGUGUUUUAUCUUCAAAAAAUUUAUAUCAACCACCUUAAACCUUUUAUUUCCACGCAAGAGAUUUUAGAGAAAAAAACUAGCUAAUACCCACAACUUUAUUGAAAGUCUUUGUUUAUUCAUUUUAUUGGCAAUUUACUAUAUGUGUUCCAUCGUCUUUAACAAAUGAAACUUAUACUAUUGACUAGCAUAGGCUUAAUUUACAUUGACCUUCCCUAAUUAAAGUUUUAUUACAAGCCCUAAUUGAAAUUAUUAAAGAGCGAAAUUUAUUAACAUUGGCUAAUACAGGCUAGAUUUAUUAUAUAUAAUGACUUAACAAAAAAUACUACAAUAUGAUAUUUAUUACUAAUAUAGCUAAUGACUUUAUUGGCUUUAAUUGCGGUUUGUGCUAUAGUAGUCAUCUUUGAUGUCAACAUCUGAAACUUUCACGCGGCUGCUGCGGAGUCCUAUUGGUUAGGGGUAGUUGUUGUUAUAGUGAAAAUAAAUCUUUAGUUUUUAUUUACUUGUAGAAAUGUCCACUAAGUGAGCACUUGUUGCUCUCUUUUAGCUGUGUCUUUGUUGUUUUCCGUUAGAGUCUUUGUAUAAAUUCAGAGUUCAAAGAUGAAUAAUGACAGCAGAUUAAUUUUCUUCAAAGUUCAUCUAGUAUUGCAGGCUUAGGGAUUUGAACGUUCAUCUAGUAUUAAGAGUCUAAAGAUGAAUAAAGGCAGCAAAUUAACAGAAAAGGAUCCUCUCUUGAUCUAAUAUGUUCUGAGUUUUUCAAGAUCUUCUGCCAUGUGUCUUUUAGUGGUAGUUUAUGGGUAAGAUUCAACUUCUUUUAUUUUUUUAUUCAUUAACUACCAAUCGGCAAUUGAGUUAUUUACUCAUGACAUGAUCAGAUCAUGAGAGAAUCCUGAUCCGCAGAUGAACAUUUACUCAUUUAUUAUUAAGACCUUCGCCUUUACCUAACAAAAAUUAUUAAAAAAUGAAUAUUAUUAAUAUUGGCUUAAUAUUUUAUUGGCAUUAGUCAUGCUAGUCUUUUUUUAAUGUUAAGUGAUUGUCAUUAUAUUACUAAAACAUCUUUUUUUUUCAUUAGAUUAAUAAAACUUGUUGAAAUUACAUAAUUGGCUACUUGAUCUAGAAUGACCCAAAAAAAAAAAAAAACUCUAUCGGUGUCUCAUUUUAUUAAACGGGAAAAUUAAAUUAUUUCCUUCAUUGAGAAAACAUAAUUAAACCUUAGGGAUUUGAAAGUUAUUAACUCAACAAGGCCUGAAGUUCUAUGAUUCCAAUCUAUUAAAUUAGUUUUAUCUAAUCGCAUAGAAAAUUUAUUAUAAUGACCUUACCUAACAAAAAAAGUUAAAAAAAGACUGAACUUGUUGAUAUUCCAUAUGGUAAUUAAUUUGAUUGAGAAUGACCUUAACUUAAUCAGAGACUUUUGGGAUUUGUUAAUAAAGAAAGAUAUGCUUUACGUUAUCCGGUUCACACAUUACAUAUGAUCAAGGGGCUAAACAUUGCUGCCUAAAAACGACAGUCGAUCCGGUGCUUGGUCCGCCGAUUUACACGUCCCAAAGGUACAUAAUACUUGGUGGACAAAACAGCUAUUCAGGACAAUUACUAUAGGUUAUAGUUUGAAAGGCACGAAUUCAUUAAAGUAAGGCCAAAAUUACAUUGAACCCUUAACUAGGUCACUUGUGGGAACUUAUGUCCGCAAAAAAAAGCGCCUCGUGAUACAAGAGUUAACGUAGAACCAAUCCUAGAGAGCUUUCCCAGCCAAUAGGAGGCCUAGACCGACGUUCUGACCUAUUGGCACGUAAGCGAUGUUAUCCCACGUAUGGUCCUGACAAAAGCCUUCGAGAAUAUCGCUUCUCAUAAACCCUAGUUCACCUUACCGAAAAUAUUCAGCUAUACUGUUAGGGUUGGGUAUGGAUUCGGCAGGAUUGGGUAUAUGAAAACUCAACUCAACCUGCUACUGACUGAGUUGAUAAAAAAUCAACCAACCUAAUCAAAUAAAUAUGUCGAACCCAAACCAGCUCAAUUGUCAAAUUAUCGGGUUGGGUUGGAUUGGGUUGAGUUGAUUUGAUUGAUUAAAAUAAGAAGUAAAUGAGCAUUUACCCUAUUCAAAUAUAUCAAUCAAUUAUAAAUGAAUGUCAAUAAUGAAGCAAUUUUUUUAUGAGAUUAAUUGAACUUGUUGAAAUUCCAUAAUUUGCAAGUUGAUUUAGGAUGACUUAAACAUGAUCACACCUGUGUUAGGGGAUUUUGUUAAUAAAGAAAGACUUGCUUCGCUUUCUCCAGACUUUGUUAAAUCUUAGAAUCUGCCUAUAUAUAGCUCGUAUUUGCUAAUCCAGGAAUAUCCAUCGAAAGCUAAUUUCACAAAUUUCCUGCCUGCCUUUUGAGUUCAUCAAAUCCUUUCACCUUUUCGGAAAUUCUACCAUGGGCGACAAUGGUACGUUUUGUGCUAAUUACUGCUUUUCGAAUAAUCUUAGUUUGUAUCAUUUAAAUUAUUAUCGUAUUAAUUAUAGUCAUUGCUACGUACAGUGUUCUUACAUAUAUAUUUUCAUGUGAAUUUUAGCAAUAUCAAGGGAGAAAAGAAGUCUUCCUCCAGCUGACUACUCACUGAAAAUGGAGUCAUUCAAGCUGCUAUCCGAAUCAACGGUUGAAAGUUUUGAAUCUGGUGUUUCAAAUUCGGGGGCUACAAUUGGUACGCCCAUCUAUGCAUGCCUGCCUCCAGUCUUUGUAUUGCUUAUAGAAUUAAAAAUGAAUGUAUUAUAUUACAUUUGUUAAUUAAUAUUUAUAAGUUUAAUUUAUUAAUUAUUUUUGUAUAUGGCAGGAAAUUGGUUUUCUAUCCCAAUGGAAAAAAGAAUGAUGGUGGCAAAGACCACCUUUCCCUUUACCUGAAAAUAGACGACAGCAAUCCCCAUUCUAAUGGUACUUGGAAUGUUAAUGUGUACUACAAAUUGUUUGUGUACGAUCAGCUAUCGAACCAGUACUUGGUGGUUCAGGAUGCUAAAGCCCCAAUGAGGCGCUUUGAUAGGCGCAAGGGUGAAUGGGGCUUCGGCAAAUUUCUUGACCUUGCAACUUUUAAUGAACCUUCAAAUGGGUACCUUGUUGAUGAAAGUUGUGUAUUUGGUGCUGAGGUCUAUGUUGUUAAACCAACUGGCUCUGAGGAAAUUCUUUCCUUGGUUAGUGAACCUGAUGAUGGAACUUAUCGUUUUACCAUCCCAGCAUUCGGUUCUGUAGGUGAUACCGUUCAGCGCUCAGGUGAAUUCACUGUUGGAGAAAGAAAUUGGUAAGUAUGCUCCUACUUUAAUUUUAAUAAAUGGUCACACAGAUUCACCUACUGCCCACUGUUUGGACAAACCGUGAAGUUUGUAUGACCAUUCUUUAAAACAAUAGGUCUCUGUGAUUAUUUUUCCAAACCUUAAGGUGUCGUUGUUCAUUUUUUUAAUUAAUUCUAUUGGGUAAAAUAUAGGCAACUGGUGGUUUAUCCGUCAGGAUCUGGAGCUGAUAGAGGCAACUAUCUUACUGUUUCAUUAAAGCUAGCUGAUUAUCAAAAAGUUACACCUAAGAAACCAGUUUAUGCAGAAUUUAAGUUCAAAAUACCCAACCAAUACAGCAGGAAUAGAGCUGGCGCUGAACAAACAGGUGAGUACCCGCCCUUUACCGGCAUCAACUCUUUACUAGCUUCAUAUGUAUUUGAAGCCUAGCUUAUUACAUAAACAAGAGCUGGCUAACGCAUAUUAAUUAUACAUCGAACAUUAUUUUGUUGCAGUUAAGUAUUUUUUCAACUCGGCAGCGGAAAAAGAGUCUUCCAAAAUUUUGUCGAGGGAUGAUCUGUAUGACACCACCAAGGGAUACCUUCCAAGCAAUGAAAGCCUAGUUGUCGAAGUCCAGUUUCUUGUUGUUUCAGUGAUUAAGGCCAACACUUAAUUCAUGCAUCGUCAUCAUGCAUGAUUUGCUGUGAUCGCUUUGGAUGAGUUCGUGAGAUUUCAUAAAGGGUGUUGAUGUUUUUAUUGAGUACUUGUUAAUGAUUUCCAAUAAAACGCUUGUGUUGCUAGUCUAUGCAAGAUUGCGUUUGCUUCUGUUAUUUUGUUUUGUUUCUUCACUAUGCGUUUUGUUGAAAAGUGUGUUCAUCAGGCAAUGCCUGAUUACAAAUAAAUUAAGAUGAGAGUAAUCAUCUGCAUGUGUUAUAAUAAAAAUCUUUGUGUCACUUGUGCUUCCUCUGUUAUUUGAAUGUAUUUUCAUUUUAAGAUGAUUGAUUAUUUUGUGGCGCGUUCUACAAACAGUUGGUAAAUCUGUCAUUAACGAAAAUUAAAUACGCACUCUAAUCUGAACAGCUUGACUUGUAGUCUCAAUUUGUGAUCUCAUGUUUCAUGAUAAUGCAUGAUUUCCUCUGAUCGCUUUGGAUGAGUUCAUGAGACAGGGUAUUGAUGUUUUAAUGAAGUAUUUGUUGAUUUCGAAUAAAAAGCAUGUAUUCUGCUGAUUUUUUUUUUUUGUUUCUUGAUUAUACGCCUAGUUAAAAAAUGUGUUCAGGCGAGGCCUAAUCGAUUGUAAUUAAACAAAGAUGCUAGUAAUCAUCUAUGUUAUCUGAUAAGUCUUCUACUUCCUUUAGUACUGUGCCAUGUGAACAAAAUAUUUGUGUCGUUAAAUCUGAAUUAUUAUGCAGAUUCCAAUAAAAAAUUUAAUCCAGCAUAAGCAUCAAGGAUCUAGUAUCAUUGCUUAUGCCUACUAAGUUAUAAAUUCAUAUGCAUAUGUCUGAAUGUCAAUGUGUAUAAAAAAAAGUUUAAAAAACACAUAAAUCAAGUAAUGCAACAUCAAGAAUUUCUAUCUAAACAAAAUAUAAUAUGUAAUAAACUAAUUCUUUAACUCCAAUUAAAAUAAUAAAUUACUCUUUAAUACUGAAUUCCAAAGAUCCAAAUACAAGAAUAACUUAUUUAUCGUAUAAAGAGUAUUCACUACAGAAAAAUGGUCUUCACUAAUACUUAGCUCGUGAUGCUUAAUUAAAAAGUAUCAGUAUUUACAUACAUAUGGUCCAUUUUUCAUGUUUAACAUACAAGUAUAAAAAAUUACUGAUAUGAUAGUGUUAAUAAGUUAGACAUCAGAAAUUUCUGACACUAAGAUAUCAGUAAAAAAAUCAAAAUAAUUCUAAUCUUGUCCCAAUUAGAACUCGAUCCCAAGACCUCUCAAAAGUCAAGCUUCUAAAUUAAAAAGAGAAACAAUAAUAUAAUAAAAAAUGUAUAUAUAGAAAAUAAAAAAGCCCUAAGUCGGCAAAUCCCUAAUUCUAAUGUCAACUUCAUCUUCUAAACUCUCUCUCUCUCUCUCUCUGAGUCUCAGCAGCCACGUGUGCAGUCAACGAGCGCGUUGCCACUCCUUAGCUAGUCUUCCGCGAAACAUCCACACUAUGUGCCAUCAUCGAGAAUUUGUGUUUUGCCUCACGGUGCGUUCGUCGUGACAUAGUAGUUGUGACUCGUCAUGUCAACCAGUCUCACAUCCUCACGGCUGUCACUCAUCAGCCAGUGGUCGUCGUCACGGUUGUCGACUGCUGUUAUUUUCAAAUUUCAAUUUUGAUUCAUAAUAAAGGUAUAAUAUUAGAAAAUUUAUUUUAAUUUAUUUGAUUUUCGUAUCACUACUAGAAAAAUGGUCUUUACUGAUACUUAACUCGUGACACUUUAUUAAAAAGUAUCAGUAUUUACAUACAUAUGAACCAUUUUCCGUGUUUAACAUAUAAGUAUCACAAAUUACUGAUACCAUAGUGUUUGCAAGUCAGACAUCAGAUAUCCCUGACACUAAGCUAUUAGUUAAAAAAUCAAAAUAAUUGUAAUCUUGUUCCAAAUAGAACUCGAACCCAAGACCUAUAGAAGUCAAGCUUUUUAAGUUAAAAGGAAAAGAAAAAACCAUAAUAUAAUACACAAAAAAAUGUAUAUAUAAAAAAAACCCUAAUUUCGUAAAUCCCUAAAUCUAAUCUAGGUCAAUUUCAUCUUCUAAACUCUCUUUCUCUCUGAGUCUCAGCAGCCACGGUCUCUCUCUCAGCAGUCACGGUCACGGAAACAAUUACAUAGCCACGGUCUCUCUCUCUGGCACGUCGUCACUCACCCAGUUUUUUGUCAGCUAGUGCAUCGUGACCGUCAGCCUGUGUGCAGUCUGCCAGCGCAUCGCCACUCUUUAGGUAGUCUUCGGCGAAGCAUCCACACUGCGUGCCGUCAUCGUCGAUUUGUGCUUUCCUCACUAUGUGUUCAUCCUGUCAUGGCAGUUCUCACUCAUCAGCUUCAGCUAGUCUCGCAUCCUCACAGUCAUCACUCGUCAGCCGGGGGUCGUCGUUGUAGUCGUCACAGACACGGUCAUCUGCUGCUGUUAUUUUCAAAUUUCAAUUUUCGUUCAUAAUAAAGGUAUAAUAGUAGAAAAAUUAUUUUAAUUUAUUUGAUUUUUGUAUUAAUGUAUUUGAUUGAAAUCGAAUACUUGGUUAAAAAAAAAUUUGAAAUUUUUUCAGUUAUGUAUUUGAUAUCAUUCUUGUUUAAGAGCAUGCAUUUCAGUAGUUGAUUUCAUUUAGUCUGUGUUCUUUUUGGUUGCUUUAUUUGAUAGAGCAGAGCAAAAGGCUUUUGAAACCUCAGCUUCCUUUUUUUUUUAAUCUUUUAUGGCGAAAGUAGGGUAGGAAUAGUAUGAAAACAUGUUUUGCUUUCUUCUUGGAUGGCUAGCUUGGCUUGCCAUGGGAGAGUGGGAAGCUGAUUUAUAUCAUAUUAAUUACAUCACAUGGUUAUAUAAUAAAAGUUAUAUUUUUUUAGGAAUGUGUAUUUGUGUCAUAUUUUGAGCAAAACAUUUACUUGUUCAAAUAGGGACUCGUAGUAUACCGGCCUUGAUGGGAGCUGUGGAUAUUUCAUGGUCAAUGGGGAUGAUUGGCUAUUCAAGUAUUGAAUAUUGCUUUAGUGGUAGUUAGAUCUUUCUAUUCUGUCUUUUAUUUUAUUUAAUAGUGUUUAUAUAAUGAAUAAUAAACAGUUCUUUGACUAAAAAGUUGUUGGUAGCAUCAUGGACCCAAUUUGUGAGUAUAUCAUUUCUCCUAACUUGCAAAUAUUUGUUCAUUAGCAGUAUUUAUUUGGGAAUAUUUUGUACCUAUAACGAUAUGUAAUGUUCUGGAUUCUAUUUACCUUUUAAGGACCUUAGAAUGAUUAUGUAUGUCAAAUUCUCUGUUAGAUUUGUUCCUUGAUUUACUAGUGUUAGAUUUAUUUUGCAUUCUAGUUAUUCUCACAUGGCUUUGACUUUCCUUUAUUAUUGUACUUUCUUUCCCUUUUCUUUUGGAAUAAACUUCUUCGAUUAAUGGGGGCCCUAAAAAAGUUUAUACUAAAACCUUUAUUUUGCCAAGUUAUAAUUUGCUAGGACAUAUGGAGUGAAAUAUAUCUCGGAAGAAAUUGUAAAGUGGAUAGUUUGAGAUGCAUGCUCAGAUGUGGGGAGAGUUCUCUUGUCAAUGAUGAAUUAUACUAUGUAUUAGAUGUACUAUUGUAGCAUGUCCUUUUAGGUCAUAUAUUAGCAAGCCUCUUGUAUCAUAAUAGCAGGGCGUUACCACGUUAGUCAAAUUACAUGCUUGGUUUAACAGGUACUUUAAUGCAUUAAAAAAAUAUAUUUGUCAUUCAAGUUUAUCCAUGAAGCUUAGGAGUAUUCAUGCACAUUUAUGAAGUUUACGUAUUUAGUAUCUAUACUUUUUUUUCGGGUUAAAUUUGAAACAGGAUUUAAAAAUUUCUAUUCUAUAAAUGUGCAGCAAAAUUCUUUAGCAAACUACGGAUGAAGUCAAAAUAAAUCCUUUCUAGCUAGCAUGUGUUGACUUUUAUAAAACUUGCAUUUUGUCUUAUCUCCCAUGGGGAGGAGCUGAACUCAUUCAGGUAAUGCUUUAUUUAAUCAUUGCUUGAUGGUUUAUUUAAAUAUAACAUAUAUGUUUUAUUGUCUUAUAUUCUGUAUCUGUAUUUUGGAUUUGGAAUUUCUAUUAAUGGACUUCACCUCUCUACCAUAAAAUGAGAAUAUAUUAAUACUCUUAUGGCUAUUUUGAGAGACAAACAUAAAGAAUCAUCACCUUGGCAAAAAUAAGCUCCAUCCUUUUUAAAUAAUCGGCAGUGCAUCGUGUCUAAGUGAAUGAUUGAGAGAUCUCUAUAUAUAAUUGAUCUAGUGAUCUUUCUUCAAUCUUUCCUUUUGGUUUCUUUAUCUCAAUGACCUUAAGCCUUUUUGUAUUGCUUUACCUCUAUAACUGAAUAUGUUUAGUUUUCUAUUUGCUGAAGUGAAGUUUCUAGGAGGUUGAUGUUGUAUUUUGACUCAUGAUUGUUAUCAUUGUGUCUUGAAGAUUUGAUAGGAAAUUGAAAAGUAUUGCAAGAGUUUGGUACUAUACCUUUUUCAUUUUUUGGCUUAGGGAUACUUAUUUAAUUCAUUAGUGAUAGCCUAAGAAUACUUAAGAUAAAAAGGAUUAAUAUCAAUUCUAAGCUUUUUUAGGAUCUUUGGUAACUACUGUCAAGUGGUACUGUUUAUUAGUAUGUUACUACUUUUUAUAAUUUCUAGAAAAUGUCAAGUGUUUGGUUACAAAUUAUUGUUUAGUUUUGAGGUUAGUAAUAUAUACUUGUUAGUAAUUGGAGUUGAUGUUGAAUGUUAUGAAUACACUAUUAAUGAUCUUUCGUAUGUGUAGGCCGCAUUUGUUGUCAAGUUAUUUGUAGCAUUCAAUAAUCAUGUAAUGUACGAGUAUAUUUUUGCUUGUAAAUGUCCGACACUUAAUUUGUGUAGCAAACUAAUUAAUUCUAUAUGUUACACUUAUAGGUGGGAAAACAAUGAAGUUCAAGGUGUAGAGGCAAUAAGGAGAAUUUUGUUGCAAACUAAAUACUUGUAUUUUUUUUUCAAUCUGAAUAUCUACUUGUGGGCAUUUCAAACUAUAUUUGAGAUACUCUAAAUUUGUAUGUUUCUUUUAGUACUUGUUUUAAUUUGUAUUUGGUAUAAUUGUGACAUAUUAAUAAUAUUUCAAUAUGAAAUGAAAGAUUUUGUAAUAUAAAUUAAGUUUUUUAAAUUUUAUGGCGCCUUUUAAUUUUACCAAUAAAUCAAUAGCAAUGAUCCAAUUCAAAUUUUUAUUUUUUAAAUAAAUUAAACAAUGAUAUCAUGGUAACAAUAAUUAUAGACACUAAUAUAAUAUCAACAACUACUAAUACUAUGGUGUCAUAAUAUUAGUGAUACUGUAGUAAUAGUAAUUUCUGACACCACUUACAAGUGUCACUAUUUUUCUAACUCCCAGAUUACUGACACAAUUAACGAGUGUCACUGAAAGUAAUUACUGACACUAUUCUAAUGUCAAUAACGACCAUUUUUCUAGUAGUGUAUUAAUGUAUUGGAUUGAAAUCGGCUACUUGGUUAAAAAAAUUUUGAAAAUUUUUUCAUUUGUGUAUUUGAUAUCAUUCUUGUUUAAGAAGCACGCAUUUUAGUAGUUGAUUUCAUUUAGUCCCGUGUUCUUUUUGGCUGCUUUAUAUGGCAGAGAAGAGCAGAAGGCUUUUGAAACCUUAAUAUUUUUUUUAAUGUGGGAAAAUAGGGUAAGAAUAGUAUUAACACAUGUUUUGCUUUCUUCUUGGAUGGCUGGGCUUGGCUUGCCGUGGGAGAAUGGGAGGUUGGCUUAUAUCAUAUUAAUUACAUUUUUAUAUAAUAAAAGUUUUGUCUUUUUAGGAAUGUGUAUUUGUGUCAUUUUUUGGGCAGAACAUUUACUAGUUUCAAAUCGGGACUUGUAAUAUAUUGGCCUUGAUGGAAAUGGGGAUAUUUCAUGGCCAAUGGAGAUGGUUGGCUAUUUAAGUAUUGAAUGUUGCUUUAAUGGUUGUUGGAUCUUUCUAUUCUGUCUUUUUUUGUUUUGUUUUAUUUACUAGUGUUUAUAUAAUGAAUAAUCAACUGUUCUUUGACUAGAAAGUUGUUGGUAGCAUCAUGGGCCCAAUUUGUGAGUAUAUCAUUUCUUCUAACUUGGAAAUAUUUGUGCAUUAGCAGUAUUUAUUUGGGAAUAUUUUUGUGCCUAUAACAAUCUGUAAUGUUUCUGGAUUCUAUUUACCUUUUACGGGCUUUGGAAUGAUUAUGUUUGUCAAUUUCUCUGUUAGAUUUGUUCCUUGAUUUACCAGUGUUAGAUUUGUUCCUUGAUUCUAGUUGUACUCAUGUAGCUUGCACUUUCCUUUACUAUUGUACUCUCUUUUUCUUUUCUUUUUGAAUAAAUUUCUUCGAUUAAUCGGGGCCCUAAAAACGUUUAUACUAAAAACUUUAUUCUGCCAAGUUAUAAUUUGCUACGACAUAUGGAGUGAAAUAUUUCUUGGAAAAAGUUAAAGUGGAUAGUUUGAGAUGUAUGCUCAGAUGUUAGGAGAGUAUUCUUGUUGAUGAUGUAUUAUACUAUACAUUAGAUUUACUAUUGUAACAUGUCCUUUUAGGUCAUAGAUUAAUAAUGGAGGUUUGUAAGCAAGCCUCUUGUAUGAUGCUAACAGGGCAUUACCACCUAGGUUAGAUUACAUUCUUGGUUGGAGUUUAUGUAUGUAGUCUUUAUACUCUUUUUUUUGGGUUAAAUUUCAGACAUAAUUUAAAAUUUUAAUCUUAAUAAUUUUUCUAUUCUAUAAAUGCGUAGCAAAAUUUUUCAGCAAACUAUGGAAGAAGUCAAAAGAAAUCCUUCCUAGCUAGCACCUGUUGACUUUUAUAGAACUGGCAUUUUGUCUUGUCUUCCAUGGGGAGGAGCUGAACUAUUGGAGGUAAUGCUUAAUUUAAUUAUUGCCUGAUGGUUUAUUAAAAAUAUAGCAUAUUUAUUUUAUUGUCUUAUAUUCUUUAUCUGUAUUUUGGAUUUGGAAUUUCUAUUAAUGGACUUCACCUCCCUACCUAUAAAAUGAGAAUAUAAUUAUACUUUUGUAGCUAUCACUACAAGAAUUAAGGCCUUUAGCAACAACUUUUUUAGCAACAAAAUUGUCUUUGUUGCCUUAAAUGUGUUAUGGCAACAUAAAAAAUACUUUGUUGCCAAAUACUUAAGAAAUAAAUUAAUAGUUAAUUAACAUUUUUAGCGACAAAUAUUUCAUCGCUAAAGACAUACAUUAGCAACGAAUUAGCUUUUUGUUGCUGAAAGUUUUAGUGCGAAACUAAAUAUUACUGACUAACACAUAACUGCUAAUACCAGUAGAUGGAGUAGGGUUGCAGAAGUGAACCGAUAGGGUAGAUAAAUACUAGAUAUCAUUUUAGAACCGAUCAAGCUAAUGUGAUUAGGUUACGCUCUAAUCGAAGCAUGAUUAGAUGUGGUUCUAAUCCAAACAACUCAAUGAGAUUUUGAUAAUGCAUUAAGUUCGAUUAGAUGAAGCACCAGUCCAAAUGACUCUACAAAGUAGAUUUUGAUUAAUAAUACCAAAAGGAAUGUUAAAAAGGGGGUUUUAUUAAUAAAAAAUUAUGAAUAAUAAUAAGAUCUCCCUAUUUAUAAGAGGGUAAACAUACUCCCCAAGUUACCUUAGAAGGAAAUUAAAUCACAAUUAUACUAAAAAUAAAAGAGUCAAGUGCAUACAUAAUUUAUUCCAAUUAACAAAUAAAAUAUUGAAAGACCUAAAAUAACAAAAUUCUAAAACUUAAAAUAACAUACUACGUUAAAUCACUACUAAAAGAAUGGUCUUUGUUGACAUUAAAAUAUUGUCAGUAAUUACUUUUAGUGACACUUGUUAAUUGUGUCAGUAAUCUGACAGUCAGAAAAUUAGUAACACUUGUUUGUGGUGUCAGUGAUUACUCUUACUACAGUAUCAUUAAUAUUAUGACACCAUAGUAUUGGUAAUUGUUGAUAUUAUAUUAGUGUCUACGAUUACUGUUACAUUAGGAACACUGUUUAAUUUAUUUAAAAACAAAAAUUUGAAUUGGCUCUUUGCCUAUUGAUUUAUUGGUAAAAUAAAAAGGCACCAUAAGAUAACAAAAAAACUCGAUGUACUCGAUUUAUAUUACAAAAUCUUUCAUUUCAAGUUUAGAUAUUAUUAAUAUAUAUUACAAUUGUACCAAAUACAAAUUAUCUAGUUUGCAACAAAAUUCACAAUAUCUCAAAUAUAGUUUGAAAUGCACACAAGUAGAUAUUUAGAUUGAAAAAAAAACACAAGUAUCUAGUUUGCAACAAAAUUCUCCUCAUUGCCUAUACACCUUGAACUUCAUUGUUUUCCCACCUAUAACUGUA